UUGACAGUCCUGUGAAUUGAAUUCUCUUCUUAAACACAAAACAGACAUACGACAGAAGUGCCAGCUUUCCCUCACUGCUCAGCAAAAGUAGCAACCUCUAAAGAUGAGAGGGUAGUUCAGACUCUGUGUCCAUUCAGUCCUUGGCUCUU
rnacentral:sRNA from 1 species